UACGAAGGGUGCAAGCGUUACUCGGAAUUACUGGGCGUAAAGCGUGCGUAGGUGGUUUGUUAAGUCUGAUGUGAAAGCCCUGGGCUCAACCUGGGAAUUGCAUUGGAUACUGGCAGGCUAGAGUGCGGUAGAGGAUGGCGGAAUUCCCGGUGUAGCAGUGAAAUGCGUAGAGAUCGGGAGGAACAUCUGUGGCGAAGGCGGCCGCCUGGACCUGACCUGACGCUGAGGCGCGAAGGCGUGGGGAGCGAACGGG
rnacentral:rRNA from 1 species